CUCACGCAACUCCGGGCUCAUCGAACCGCGUCGAAUUUACCUGAGAUUUACGAACGACAGCGGUCUGAUCAUACCGCAAGGAACAGUCGAUAAAUAGCUUACCGUACGAAUGACUCGGUCGGUAAAGAAGAUACCCAUAAGUCAUAGCUCCGACCGAGACAAAGCGAAGUCACUCGAUAGUCGAAUCUCGGAACUAAGGAAGACGAAGACGUAUCGCCAUUGUCCGGCUCUCGACAGACAGAUAGAUUUCCUCAAGACUGGAUGGCAGCUGGUUGCCUUGUUAGUUGACCGCGGCCAAAUGCUAGGCAUACAUCAAUGCCCAUGCUAGCAUUACCCCAAACCGAUACAUUAACUCAUAACCUGUCUUGGGAUUAUUCUUGUGUCUGAAUCCAUAAACUAUGCCGGAAGACAACGAACGGUUCCUGCUUGACAAUCUUUAUUUUUCUAUCUGCUCUGAUACAGGUAUGUGAACAUGGAUCGUGUAUAACUACUUUUUUAAAUCUUUUUAUUUAUUUUAUACAACGGAAGAUUUAUGGCUUACGUGUCGUACGGAACGUAGCUGGCUUGUAUUUAUUGCAAAUUGAUGGCAUUUUGAAUUUAUAUGGAUUUCGAAUUAAUUUUGGUUAAUGGGUCGUUCACUCUGAAAUUAUGAUACUUUGUAUCUGGAAAUUGUUAAUGUGACGUAUAAAGCGCAUUUGAAUCGGAUAAAUUGAUAUGUGAAUCAGAGGGCACGGCUCUUUGUGGGAAGAGUAUGGGCGUUUGAAAAAUUGUCCUGGACCUCGCAUAAAAAUGUACGAUGACCUUAGAGACUCGAGAAAUCUUUAAAAGCAUUUCAGUGACGUCUCAAGAUAUAUCGCUGGGUAAACAGCGGUUUCAUAGAACUUUUAUAUCGUGACAAAAAUGUCAUCUGUUCCUUGAAUAUUAAAUUUAACAUGCACAUACGUUCUCGAGAAAUCGAGAAUAAAAAGCAAUUUAUACCUCGUUAUCAUUAAAAAGUUAUAUCUCACCGAAGUACAACGAGAAGCCUAGAAAUAAGCCCGAGAAGAAACACGGACGUAAAUCAUUGGAUUUUCGUUUCCUCCAUCACGCCUCAUUAAAGACGCCAAGAGAACGAAUUGACACCUCCUGUCUCCAUGAUGCAACGCUAUAGCAGCCACAGCUGCCAAUUUAUAAUGUCGACAGAGAUAACGUCCCUGAAACACCACGUAUCGCAAGCACCGAGCAUGAUGGAGCAUAAAGAGAAACAAAAGAAAAAAAAUUAUUUCCAAGCGGACAGCAUGAAAAACAUAAAAUCAGCAAGUACCGUGCAAAAGAGGAAAUUGUAACGGUAAUGGUUUACCAGGUUUUCUCUGGUUUUACAAGUACUCGACCAUGUGACUCUGCACCGUGAAAGGAAGACAGACAAGAUCAGUGGUCCAGGGAGAUAUGAAAGCUGCAUUAAGAGAUAAGAGGCUGCGGAUGUAAAAAAGUUUGAUGGCCUGCAGAGAGUAAGAGGGAGGGGAGAGAGAGAGAGAGGGGGGUAGAUAGAGAGAGAGAGAGAGAGAGAGAGAGAGGGAGAGAGAAAGGAGAAGGAGAAGAAAAAAAUAAAACAUGGUGGCCACUUCGAGAGGGCACCGUAAGCUGUACCUACCGACACGGCCAUGGCGGCUGAAACUGGCCAAUUCACCAAUGCCAGUCUUUAUUAUUAAGAGCUCUGACACAGUCUCGGUACGAUGUUAAUUUAAAAAUCUUGUAAUAGUUUGUUACCAGCUGCAUUACUAAUUCAGCUUCCACGGAUAACUAAUGCACCAACAAGUAUCACAGAUGAUCGAGCUGUUAAUCACGACGGUAGCAGAGCCUAAGAUCAGCACUCUAAUUACGCCACGACAUAAAAAUUAAUCGCUCUCACGCGCAUUAUUAAUCUGGCUCGUUCGGACGCUGGCCUGUACAGUGUAAAUAAGUGAAAUUAAUUAAACAUUUAGCAGUUAGUAUCUACAGUUACACACCUCCGGGAUACAUUCCAAGCAACAACCAGUUUGUGUCGGCGCAGCCAUAUAAUAUCUUAAUCUGGCGAUCUUAUCGUGCACAUUAAGUUGGGAAUAUAUGGAAGUGGUUUUAGUGUCACAUAAAUUAAGAUUAGUCAGUCGGCACUUGCCAUUAACAUUUGCCAUUACGGCUAUUAACAUUAAUUAUAGCAGAGCUUCCACGCUAUAAAGCGUCGUUCACCUGUAUCUCACUUCUAGGGCGAUACUUCUUUCAUACGAAAUUACUGUCACGUUUAUACGUCUUUUGAACGUUAUAUGGAGCCGCCAUCUUGAUAAUUAUAAUUAUUAUUUAUAAUUAACACAACCUUCGUAUACAUAUAUAUAUAUAGUCUCGAUAUAUAGCGUACAGAGUAUACCUUUGUUAUAUUCUAAAAGACAAAAUACAAAGGAAUACCGCAAGAAAAUAAAUGCCUUGCGGAAUUGGUCUCGCUGUCGAAAAGCCAAAGGAGACGAGAAGCAAAUUUGUCAGAUCGCUAAAAUCUGCCACGAGAGCCCAAGGAGCGACGGAGUCACGAAUUUUUGCGGGCGAAAGAAAUGUGUCGCGAGGACAAACAUUUUCUGUAGAAAACAAAUAACGGGGCCGUCUGGCGAUAAAUAAUACGAGAAGACAUUUAAAAGGUGUCGUAACGCGUAGCACGGAGGCUAUCAAAACUAGUCGUCGGUAUGGGGACAGCUUCUUGGCGCCAUGCCGAUAGAAAGGCACUCUAAGGUCCUGAUAUAUAGUGCUUUGUUAUUUUUUUAAUGGUAUAUACUGGUAUAUAGCCGUCGAUAACGUUAAGUAUCAAUCGCGAGUCGUAUAUUGAAAUGGGUAAUGAAGGGGCAAGGAUAUUCUUUCGUAUACGUGUAAUAUAUAGAUAUAGAGGUGGCUUGAUGGAAAAGGAGGAAGAUUAACGCGGUCCUUUCGUUUAGACUGUAACUUUUAUAUCACGGUCAGGAGCUACCAGAUAGAAAUUUAUGACCCUACGGGUUUACUGUCAUUAGCAUAUACUCGAAAUAUAUUUUAAUUUUACAAUCGAGGCAUUAUACCGAGAUAUACGGUAAUAUACGAUCUUGGUGCCUGUAAUAAAGUAGCUUCAACACGACAUGCCUUAACCGAUUGCCUAACUUGUGAUGCUCAAUAGUUGGUACCUAACUAU